UGAAAGAGGAUGAUAGAGUCCAACUCCUUGUUUUGCACAGGACCAUCCCUUAGAGUCACACCCUGUGCCUGACAGCACUGUCCAAACACUUCUUGAAGUCAGUCAGCCUUAGCGCUGUGCCCACUUCCCUGUGAGCCUGUUCCAGUGCUCAAACAGCCCCUGCGGGAAGAACCUUUGCCUGAUAUCCAGCCUAAACCUCUCCUGGCUCAGCCUCGGGCCGUUCCCUCGCCUCCUGUCCCCGGUUCCCUCACGAGGUGCUGGGGCUGGCGAGCAGCGGGGCCCGGCAGGAGCGGCCCGGCGAGGCUGAGGCGGCAACACCGCCCUCCCCCUUCCCUCCCCCGGCGGGCGCUGCCGGAGCCACGGCCGCCUCCGAGGGCCGUGGCGGGGACGCCAUGAACUGCUGGGACCCGGCCCAGAGGUGACGGGGCCGGGGAGAAGGGAGAAGGAGGGAGGGGGACUCUCGGUGGAGCUCCGGGCGGCUGCGGGACCCCGAACGGUGCCCUCUUCCUCCCCUGGCCCCUGAAACCCGCCGGCACUCCGGGUUGGAUGCCAGCACAACAAAAAUUAUUGUGGAAAACUGCAGAGGAGCGCCGGUUGUGUCGGUGGGUGUUUCACGGCACCUGCUGGAAAAGGCUGCAACUGCGUCCUUGGGCCGGGAUUAAUACAAGAAGGAGUGACCGAGGGACAGACUUUACUCCUUGGGUGUGCUGCAGUCCCUCCUGGGCGUGGAUACACACACAUUCCUCGGGCACUGCGGGAGAGUGCGUGUUUGUUUGCCUCUCUUGUUCUUAUCUCCAAUGCCUUAUGAAACUGGCAGCAGUGCACAAGCCUCGUACACCUUUAUGUGCAUAUAGCGCAUGUUAGUGGUGUUUUAUUUCUUAGGGGGUCCUGAAAGGGCUCUGCUGUUCUUUAAGUAUUAGCUGUUGAUAACUUCCAAUAGCUAUACUAUCAAAUAAGAGAAAAAAAUAAAAUAAACCCUGCAGGAUUUUAACUGACAAAGAUUUAAUGAAGCCAGUUAAGUUGUUCUAUUCAUUUAUGAGGCUGUAGAUCUCUCUCCUUCUUCAAACCUUGUGUUGGAGUUUAUUGGUGGGAGAAGGUGACAGGAAAAAAAAAACAACAAAACAAACAGGUUGUGUAGGUAUAGGCCUUUUGAUAGCUCAGAAUUAAAUAUCUUCUGAAACUAUAUGUUUAAUAGAGAAGAAAACAAAAAAUCCAACAAGAACAUUGUUCUUUCAAGCAUCAUUGAUGCUUUUUCCUUUGUUUGUUUUUAAACAGAAGCACAACAUUGAAGAGGAUACUUCUUUCUUCAGUAAAUUACAUAUUCCUGGUUUAGCAGGUGAAAGUUUAUUAAACUGGUUGUUGCUGUUCAUUGAUGCUCACAGAAUUGUAGACUGUGCUGUGCACUUAGAUUCCACAGUGUUAUUCUGACUUGAGCUGGACCUUGAGAGUGCUGUUAGCUUUUUGCACAAAAACCAAAGUUUGCAACUUUUGAGAUCACAUUCAACUAGUUGGUGGAGUACUGUUUAUACAUAGUAACAGUAAUUUUCUACAUUAUCUAAUGGCAUUAUUUAACAAUGGCAAUAUAACAACUUUUUAGAUCUCCAGGAACAAAUAUUCUGUGGUGCAUGUAUUUUCUCGAUAGCAAAUUUCAUGCUCAUUUUCCUUCCUCUUUUAUGGUAGACCACGAAGUUGUUAUUGUCACUCACCUGCUCACAUACACCAGGAACUUCCUCUGCUUCUUGAGAAAUUUUCCACCAAAAAAUAGGAACUGAAAGUACAAUUCUAUCAAGUCUUGCAACUUCCUUUCACUUAAUAUAUUCAAUGUUAUUUCAAGUAAUUUUGUAUAUUAUGUUUUGUGACCAUUACUGAUUUUUAACAUUUCUUUUUCUUUGAAAAAUUAUUUGGGUCAGAUGAUAUACACACUUCAAAAAUUUCAAAUGGGAAAAAAAACA